GAAGCUGACUAGACAGUCGCUGCUUGUUAACUCAAGGAGAGGAAAGUCCGGGCUCCACAGAGCGGAGUGACGGCUAACGGCCGUACGUUGCGAAACGAGGAAUAGGGCCACAGAGACGAGCGUAUUUAGUUACGGUGAAACGCGGUAACCUCCACUCGGAGCAAAGUCAAAUAGGGUAGUAAUAGCACGGCUCGUGCUGCUACCGGGUAGACUGCUUGAGUGCAUGAGUAAUCAUGUGCCUAGAUGAAUGACUGUCCACGACAGAACCCGGCUUAUCGGUUGGCUUCAACU
rfam:Candidatus Methylopumilus planktonicus strain MMS-10A-171 genome assembly, chromosome: 1